CCUACGGGAGGCAGCAGUGAGGAAUCUUGGUCAAUGGACGAGAGUCUGAACCAGCCAAGUAGCGUGAAGGAUGACUGCCCUACGGGUUGUAAACUUCUUUUAUAAAGGAAUAAAACGAGGCACGUGUGCCUCUUUGCAUGUACUUUAUGAAUAAGGAUCGGCUAACUCCGUGCAAGCAGCCGCGGUAAUACGGAGGAUCCGAGCGUUAUCCGGAUUUAUUGGGUUUAAAGGGAGCGUAGAUGGGUUGUUAAGUCAGUUGUGAAAGUUUGCGGCUCAACCGUAAAAUUGCAAUUGAUACUGGCAGUCUUGAGUACAGUUGAGGUAGGCGGAAUUCGUGGUGUAGCGGUGAAAUGCUUAGAUAUCACGAAGAACCCCGAUUGCGAAGGCAGCUUACUAAACUGUGACUGACAUUGAUGCUCGAAAGUGAGGGUAUCAAACAGGAUUAGAUACCCCGGUAGUC
rnacentral:rRNA from 1 species